GAUGAACGCUGGCGGCGUGCCUAAUACAUGCAAGUCGAGCGAACAGACGAGGAGCUUGCUCCUCUGACGUUAGCGGCGGACGGGUGAGUAACACGUGGAUAACCUACCUAUAAGACUGGGAUAACUUCGGGAAACCGGAGCUAAUACCGGAUAAUAUAUUGAACCGCAUGGUUCAAUAGUGAAAGACGGUUUUGCUGUCACUUAUAGAUGGAUCCGCGCCGCAUUAGCUAGUUGGUAAGGUAACGGCUUACCAAGGCAACGAUGCGUAGCCGACCGGAGAGGGUGAUCGGCCACACGGGAACUGAGACACGGUCCAGACUCCUACGGGAGGCAGCAGUAGGGAAUCUUCCGCAAUGGGCGAAAGCCUGACGGAGCAACGCCGCGUGAGUGAUGAAGGUCUUCGGAUCGUAAAGCUCUGUUAUUAGGGAAGAACAAAUGUGUAAGUAACUGUGCACGUCUUGACGGUACCUAAUCAGAAAGCCACGGCUAACUACGUG
rnacentral:rRNA from 1 species